CGAAGGAUGCAAGCGUUAUCCGGAUUCAUUGGGUUUAAAGGGAGCGUAGGUGGCCUUAUAAGUCAGUGGUGAAAUCUCUGGGCUUAACCCAGAAAUUGCCAUUGAUACUGUAGGGCUUGAGUAUAGUUGCCGUUGGCGGAAUAUGACAUGUAGUGGUGAAAUACAUAGAGAUGUCAUAGAACACCGAUUGCGAAGGCAGCUGACGAAACUAUAACUGACACUGAGGCUCGAAAGUGCGGGGAUCAAACAGGAUUAGAUACCCUGGUAGUCCGCACUGUAAACGAUGAUUACUCGCUGCUAGAGGGCAACUUUUAGUGGCUUAGCGAAAGCGAUAAGUAAUCCACCUGGGGAGUACGCCGGCAACGGUG
rnacentral:rRNA from 1 species